rnacentral:rRNA from 1 species
CCUACGGGAGGCAGCAGUGAGGAAUAUUGCGCAAUGGACGAAAGUCUGACGCAGCCAUCCCGCGUGCAGGAUUGAAGGCCCUACGGGUUGUAAACUGCUUUUAGAUAGGAAGAACCCCCCUUACGUGUAAGGGGCUGACGGUACUAUCAGAAUAAGCACCGGCUAACUCCGUGCCAGCAGCCGCGGUAAUACGGAGGGUGCAAGCGUUAUCCGGAUUUAUUGGGUUUAAAGGGUGCGCAGGCGGGGCAGUAAGUCAGUGGUGAAAUCCUACGGCUCAACCGUAGAACUGCCAUUGAUACUGUUGCUCUUGAGUUCGGUUGAGGUAGGCGGAAUGUGGCAUGUAGCGGUGAAAUGCAUAGAUAUGCCACAAGAACACCGAAUAGCGAAGGCAGCUUUACCAAGCCGAUACUGACGCUGAGGCACGAAAGCGUGGGGAAGCGAACAAGGAUUUAGAUACCCNUGGGUAGUCCCACGCUGGUUAAAACGAAUGAAUCACCUCGUUUGUUUGGCCGAAUACACAGUCAGCGACCAAGCGAAAGCGUUAAGUGAUCCACCUGGGGAGUACGUUCGCAAGAAUGAAACUCAAAGGAAUUGACGG